AAAUUGAAGAGUUUGAUCAUGGCUCAGAUUGAACGCUGGCGGCAGGCCUAACACAUGCAAGUCGAACGGUAACAGGAAGCAGCUUGCUGCUUUGCUGACGAGUGGCGGACGGGUGAGUAAUGUCUGGGAAACUGCCUGAUGGAGGGGGAUAACUACUGGAAACGGUGGCUAAUACCGCAUAACGUCGCAAGACCAAAGAGGGGGACCUUCGGGCCUCUUGCCAUCAGAUGUGCCCAGAUGGGAUUAGCUUGUUGGUGAGGUAACGGCUCACCAAGGCGACGAUCCCUAGCUGGUCUGAGAGGAUGACCAGCCACACUGGAACUGAGACACGGUCCAGACUCCUACGGGAGGCAGCAGUGGGGAAUAUUGCACAAUGGGCGCAAGCCUGAUGCAGCCAUGCCGCGUGUAUGAAGAAGGCCUUCGGGUUGUAAAGUACUUUCAGCGGGGAGGAAGGUGUUGUGGUUAAUAACCGCAGCAAUUGACGUUACCCGCAGAAGAAGCACCGGCUAACUCCGUGCCAGCAGCCGCGGUAAUACGGAGGGUGCAAGCGUUAAUCGGAAUUACUGGGCGUAAAGCGCACGCAGGCGGUCUGUCAAGUCGGAUGUGAAAUCCCCGGGCUCAACCUGGGAACUGCAUUCGAAACUGGCAGGCUUGAGUCUUGUAGAGGGGGGUAGAAUUCCAGGUGUAGCGGUGAAAUGCGUAGAGAUCUGGAGGAAUACCGGUGGCGAAGGCGGCCCCCUGGACAAAGACUGACGCUCAGGUGCGAAAGCGUGGGGAGCAAACAGGAUUAGAUACCCUGGUAGUCCACGCCGUAAACGAUGUCUACUUGGAGGUUGUGCCCUUGAGGCGUGGCUUCCGGAGCUAACGCGUUAAGUAGACCGCCUGGGGAGUACGGCCGCAAGGUUAAAACUCAAAUGAAUUGACGGGGGCCCGCACAAGCGGUGGAGCAUGUGGUUUAAUUCGAUGCAACGCGAAGAACCUUACCUGGUCUUGACAUCCACGGAAGAAUUCAGAGAUGGAUUUGUGCCUUCGGGAACCGUGAGACAGGUGCUGCAUGGCUGUCGUCAGCUCGUGUUGUGAAAUGUUGGGUUAAGUCCCGCAACGAGCGCAACCCUUAUCCUUUGUUGCCAGCGGUCCGGCCGGGAACUCAAAGGAGACUGCCAGUGAUAAACUGGAGGAAGGUGGGGAUGACGUCAAGUCAUCAUGGCCCUUACGACCAGGGCUACACACGUGCUACAAUGGCGCAUACAAAGAGAAGCGACCUCGCGAGAGCAAGCGGACCUCAUAAAGUGCGUCGUAGUCCGGAUUGGAGUCUGCAACUCGACUCCAUGAAGUCGGAAUCGCUAGUAAUCGUGGAUCAGAAUGCCACGGUGAAUACGUUCCCGGGCCUUGUACACACCGCCCGUCACACCAUGGGAGUGGGUUGCAAAAGAAGUAGGUAGCUUAACCUUCGGGAGGGCGCUUACCACUUUGUGAUUCAUGACUGGGGUGAAGUCGUAACAAGGUAACCGUAGGGGAACCUGCGGUUGGAUCACCUCCUUACCUGAAAGAA
rnacentral:rRNA from 1 species